AACGAACGCUGGCGGCAUGCCUAACACAUGCAAGUCGAACGAGACCUUCGGGUCUAGUGGCGCACGGGUGCGUAACGCGUGGUAACCUGCCCUUAGGUUCGGAAUACCUCCCCGAAAGGGGUGCUAAUACCGGAUAAUGUCUUCGGACCAAAGAUUUAUCGCCUUUGGAUGGGCCCGCGUUGGAUUAGCUAGUUGGUAGGGUAAAAGCCUACCAAGGCGACGAUCCAUAGCUGGUCUGAGAGGAUGAUCAGCCACACUGGGACUGAGACACGGCCCAGACUCCUACGGGAGGCAGCAGUGGGGAAUAUUGGACAAUGGGCGAAAGCCUGAUCCAGCAAUGCCGCGUGAGUGAUGAAGGCCUUAGGGUUGUAAAGCUCUUUUACCCGGGAUGAUAAUGACAGUACCGGGAGAAUAAGCUCCGGCUAACUCCGUG
rnacentral:rRNA from 1 species